ensembl:lncRNA
GUCUCAUUUGUUAUUGGGUGUAAAGUGAUCUGAGGGCCUUGGACCCGAUCUUCUAGCCAAGGCCCUGCUCCUGCGCUGUGACCUGCCUGGGCGGAAUCAGGCAUUGAAAGCAGAAGGGUUCCAAGCGAUGCUGAAGUCCGCCCGUGUGAAUCAUGGUGGAGGAGUGGGGCCUUAAUGCAAACCGUGGUUAUUGUAGCUGAAGUGACUGAUUUUGCUGGAAGAGCAUUCAACUCUCCAUCUCCAGGGAAUGGCUGGCCAGUUCUCUCCCAUUGGCAACCCUUUCAUUGACCUAAGCGAAGGAGAGGUGUGAAAGGCAGGAAUAUUCACAGACACAUACCCUGUGUGGUAGUGCGGCAUUCUGUGUAUCUUAGUAGUGGCUUUGCCUGGCCUCUGACUUUAAGGUUGAUCGUUGGCUGUGGCCACGGAGCCUAGUAAUGGUGGGUGUUAUUGAUGCUCGUGGUGUAGCAUCCAUUACUUCUGCUACAAUCCCUUUGGGGAAAUUUCUCAAGCAAAAAAGUAUAAUAUAUGGAGAUGGCACACUGAUAAAAAUAACCCUGGCAUCUCUCUCCAUCUGUUCCAGGGUUAUUGUCCUGUCAAUCUGUGGUCCCUGAAGUGUCAUCUGGCUGAGCGAGCACACAGCUGUUGUUCUGAAAAGCCCCAUGAAGUUAACGGGAUUGUCAGUGCAGCAGAGAGACGCAAGCCCGGGGCUGUUCGUUUCUUGCUAUGCAGUGAGAUCGCUGGGCAGAUUCCAGCGAAGUGUUUGCAAAGGAAGGAGCAGACGAGCGGAUGCAGGGUAGCUGAAAGUAAAGCUCUGUCCUCCGACACUGCCACUAAUUCUCUGGGGAUGUUUGACUCAGAGGAUGAAAACAGGCAAACCAGAGAGAUUGCAGUUCAUUCAGCCAGCGGGAUUACAGUUCAUUCAGCGGUGAACCUGGGGGCGUUGUUCAUCAGAGAAGCAUUUCAGCUCUUGGCAGUUUGCUGCCCUAUUUCUGCUUUAUACAUGUGUGACUGUCACAUGAUGUUACAUAACUGAUCACGUUACAUCACGAUCCGUCAGCCCCACAUGCAGGAAGAGACAAAGUGUCCUGGAGAACUAAUGCUGGGGAGGUGAUUUCUCUGCUCAAGGGUUGCUGGCCACCAAGCGAGCCAGAACCCCAAACUCCAGCCACUCGCUGCCCUGCUCUCCCCCCGCCAUCUGAGACCCAGCGCCCUGUGUAAACAAACCUGGACAUUUCCAAGUGAUUUGCCUCCAUUUUACAGCCAGGUCACAGAGAGACCAAGUGCCUUGUGCAGGGUCAUCCCCAGGGAGGCAGAGCCAGAAGUGGAACCUGGCUUUCCGGCCUCUGCUCCUCUUACAUAACGGCUUCCCCGCCCAGCGCUGCAUUUCACACAGGGCUUGGGGAAGGGAGCCUGGGUACAAGACGCUCUGAAAGGGAACCAAGAUGCAGCAGGACAGGAGGGCGGGUUCCUCACUCUCUCAGUGCCGUGACUGAACCUCGACUUAAAGGGGAGACAGCACCGGGAGCCUCACGCUCUGUAACCCCCUCACGGCUGGGCCAGACCCCUAACUGCAAAGUUUUUCUGUUCAUUGAAGGCACUUACACACACACCCCUCACCAAAGUGCCUGAGCACUGCACAGUCUUUACUGUAUUUACACACACACACACACACACACACACACACACACACACANNNNNNNNNNNNNNNNNNNNNNNNNNNNNNNNNNNNNNNNNNNNNNNNNNNNNNNNNNNNNNNUUAUACACACACACACACACACACACACACACACACACACCAUGAGAG